CCGCCUUCUCCUUUUCGCAAUGUUGACGCAAUCUAUAAAUAGUGGAACAAAAGGACCAACUUCCUCGGAGCUUUGCUGAAACUGCACAAAAAAUCGAGCUGGGGGGUUCCCUGGUCCCUGGCGACGGGGCGGGGAGCGCGGCGCCAGGGGAGGGGGCGGGCGCGGUAGCGCGGGCCCCGCCGAGGGGGGACACCUGGCUGAGGCACAGCUGCCGCCGCACCGCUCCGCGCGAACCCAGGACUCCGGUCCCUGCGCGGGCUCGAGAGUUCGCCCCGAACCGGGGUCUUCCUCCUCCGCCGUUGACAGUAGAAUAAUACCUAUCGACUGACAUGUCAUCUAUGGACCCCCGGGCCCACAGUCGCACGGUUCCUCCACGUCCGCGGCUGAGCAAAGGAGCUGCACGCACGCGCAAGAAAGGAGGUCGGAGGAGUGAGAUUGAGGAAACGAAGUGAGAGCGGCGAACAGCGACGAUUCUGCGCAUGUUCAAGGCGCGGAGGUUGGGGUAGGAGUUUGCGCAUGAGCAGAAGUGUCGGGAAAGCUGGAGAAGGGUUCGGAGGCGGUAUUGACAGCUGUGGAGGCAGCCCGCGUUCCCGGCAUGCCCCGGGGCGGCGGGGUUGGCUCUAACGAAUUUGAAUGAGGAGCCUCAGCGCUUUCGGCGCCAUUUUCGAGUGAUGCCUGAUCUCAUCAAUCUAGUGGGAGAGACGGGAUAACCUGUCCGAGAUUAUAGCGCUACGAGGACUCCGCCGAAAAAUCACUAAAAAAAUCGCCAAAAAUUACUUGGAGCAAAGGGCAGUCCGUGGGGCUUCGCCAGGGUUGGCGCAGACGGUUUUGACCUUUAGGAGAGAGCCAAUUCUGGAGAACAACCUAACUUCUUUGAUUGAACACUCACAUAAUGCAUUGGAACAUGAUAGGAGAUUAAGAAAAAAUUUCUCCUUAGAAAAUUUUAUCAUAUAGUGAUGAAAGCCGACCUGCUAGCUGGGUGCAGGGGCUGGGAGAUUGCUACUGCUUGUCAGCUGUUGUACAGAAUAGCAUCAAUAUGCAAUAAUGGUGGCCAAAGGAGCCUGCACCCACCAGCUUUUACAGACCAGGUUUAAUAAUGAUAAAAUGAAGACCAUAAUAAAACAGUCCCCCUACUUAGCCCAGCAAUUCUUACCUUUCUUACCUACUUGAUGAAGAGGUCUUUUGAAAGGUGUACUGCAAGGAAUGCAAUGCUGUCUGUAAAUUAACACUUUUAUCAAGAUCCUCCAGAUGUGAAGAAGGAAUAUUUGGGGCUGUUACAGCUAAAUGAAAACUUUCUUGUUUUAAUCCUGAGAAUGGAUUAAAGAAAAAUUGAAAUAUUGGCGAAGUGAGAAACUGUAGAAAAACUGUUAUAUUGAAAUUUAUCGUAACAGCAUACAGCUUCUUUCCAGUCUCUUACUAAAGAAGAGGAAAUGGCCUAUCAGUACCUAAUGAAACACACAUUUUAGGUGGAUAUUACUAUCCCUUAUUCAUCGAAAAAGUUUUAAUUCUAAGUGUUUUUUUCUCAUUGAGUAUUAACAAAAAGGAGAAAAAUUAAUGUCCCAAACUUUUGAGAUAGAUUUGGCUCUAGUAAGUAUUUAGACAUUAUUUGCGUAUCUAGGAGAAGAAAUGAGACCAUCAUCAUUUCCAGCUAAAAUUAUUUUUUUUACCUCUGUCAAAGGAUUUCUUGCAGUUUCUGUCUUAUUACUAAUAACUUGAGCCCCUUUAAUGCAGAACUAACUCACCAGAAAUGUGAGAGUAUAUGUUCUUGCCUUGUUUGUUUAAAAAUAUAUCUCACAGAUUUCUGAUGUCUUUUUUUUUUGAGCUAUAUACAAUGAAAAUAUUGACAAAAUAAAUAAGUUUAAACCUUUUGUUAAAGUUACUGGGCAAGGUGACAAGUUAGUUGCUUUUUUUUGCUUUAUUAUUACUGAAAUUCAACAUUUAUAAUUUCUAUUUGGGUCUAUUUCUUGAUUACUAAUACAUGGAAUUCAUGCAAAAACUUUGAGUAAAAUACUUAAAUUAGCAUAUCAAUGAUUAUAGGUCCCCCUUAAUUCUGUGGAACUUUGAAUAAUAUAUUUAUUGUAUUCUUGUGAUUGAACUUUUGUGUUUUGAAGAAAUAUAAACUACCUGGAAAAUGUUGUUACUGUUUCUAUUUAUCAUAUGCUGUAGGAUUAGAUUUUAAGCAAUUAUGCUGAGAAAGAACUUUUAAGCUACUUUUACACAAAAUGUUAAUCUGGUUAACUUGUUAUUUAAAAGUAUUUGUAUAUCUUUGUUUUAUAAUUUAACCACCCACCAUGGAUUAUUCUAUUAAAGAAUAUCUUUAGGAAGUGGUAGAAAUUCUGAAUCACCCCAGAGUUUGCUUAUUUCCACAUUUCAUUAUUUUAUAAUUUUUGGGAAUGCUUAUAUUAUAACAUUUCAGGGGUAUAAGUUCUUAUAGUACCACUAAAACUUAUUUCUUUUUUGAAUUUAAUGCAUAUGAUAGUAAAUUAUAGAUUUUUUUGUUUCCCUGUCAUCAAUUAAAAAUGCCAUUUUAGCAUGAAACAAACAAUGAAGAAGGGUAUUUGUUGUCCUGUAGUAUAAGUCAGGAAAGUUUAAGUAUAUCAUUCCUUAAGAGAAUUUUUAAAUUGUAAAAUAAUUAAUGUAGAUUUUUAUAUUAUUUAGUUUAUACUUUCAUGAAUAUCUUGUGGCAGUGUGAAAAUGCUAAUGUUUGACAGGGAGCAUUAAAAUUAGAUUUGAAACAUUAUAUAGAGAGAGGUACAAAUUUAUUCUGUUUAAAUUCUGAGGAUCAACACCGAACAAAAAUAAAUUUCCACCCUCAUAGAGCUUACAGUCUUGGGAGUGAGACAUAGGUAAUAGAAUAGACAAAAAAACUGAUAGGUACUAUAUGUGGUAUGUCAGAUGGUAAGUUCUAUGUAGAAAAAAUACAAGGAAGGGGAAAGGAUGGAAUAAAGGUGUUUAGAAAGCAGGAGAGAGAUGUUUUUAAGUAUUAUAGUCAGAAAAUGCUUCACAGAGAUGAUAUUUAGUAAGACAAUGAUUUUUAAAAUGAUAAGGAGCAAACCAUUAGGUAUCUGGGAAAACAGCCUUUCAGGCAGAUGAAAUAACAACUACAAAGAUUUUGAGGCUGAAGCAUUUUUGGUGUGUACAAGGAACAGCAAGGUCUGGGUGGCCAUGAUUAAAUAUGCAAGAAGGAGACUUGUAGCUCAUGGGAUCGAAGAGUUUAUAGGGGCUAGAUUUCAUGGCUGUUUAAGCUUUUAGCUUGCUCUACAGAUUUAAUUUUUCAUACUUAAAAGAACUCAAGAAGCUUCAGCCUAUUUGACCUUUGUAGAUAGAACAAUAUUUAUGAAUCUGACUCAAGGUUAGAACCUCCAUCUGACACCAUUUAGAAUAUAAACAAAAUGUUUAAAUAGUUGGUGAAUAGAUACAUGUGUAAUGAUCAGGUUUUUACAGAUUGUGCUUUCAUGGCUCUGAAGUUGUUUUCCACUUGAUCAGUUUAGCUUGUCAGUGCUAACAGCUCCAGGAGACACUGACCUUACUCCUGUUUGUCAUUUACCCAAACGAAUCACCACCAUCUUUGACUCCUCCCUUCUGGAAUUGCUGCCAUAAUUAAGUAUUUCAUUAUUUCUCACCUAUUCUGUAGCAUCGUAUCUGAGAAGUUCUUUGCCUGUAAUUGUUUCAUUUGUUAUAGUAUACAUCCCACUAAUUUAAUCUUCCUAAAACACACAUUUGCUUAUAGGAUAAAAUUUAAACUCCUUAGCUUGUACCUUAUGAUGUUGCCCUUACUUUUUUUCCGCUUUUCUUCAAGGGAACUAGUCUUGAUCCAUCCAAUUUUUCUCUUUGCCUUCAUUUAUGCCAUUUCACCCACCACAACUCUCCCCCCAACUAAUUCUUGUACAUGCUUAAAAAUGGGCCAGACCUCUUGUGUGUGGUAAAUGUGUCCUUACUUUAACAAUAAGACAUUACCCCUCCUUGUGGUAUGAACAGUUUAUAUCUGUAGUUCUUAACCUUUUUCUCUAACUUAACACACCUGAGGGACAGAACGCUUCAUCAUUAAUUGUGCCUCAUUUAUUAGUACAUAUUGACCUUUUAAAUAUAUUAGCCAUAUGAAUAAAAAUUUAAAAUUUUAUAAACAGAAUGAAGAAAAGCAAAUGGACUAAGAUGCCCAGAACUUGAAAACAUCAGCCUAAGUAUCAGGUUCCAGAGUUUACAUAUUAAUUUUAUGCUGAUGAGUGAUAUAGUUGAUUUUUUCCUCUGUUAUAUGAAAAGCUCUUCCCCUCCCUCCCUCCUUUCCCCCACUUCCCUCUCUCUUUCUCUCUCUCUCUCUGUCUCACCUAUAAUUGAGUAUGGACUAGCCAUAUACAUUUCUAGGAUUUUAGUAUAUUUAAAAGAAUAAAUUCUCUAAUUUUUCCAUAUUGUAAAAGCAAUUAAUAAAUAUACUUUUAAGAAGUAAUCCAUGUGUUUAUUAUAGUAUUGUUUAUAAUAUUAAAAAUUUGGAAGAGUUUUUAAAGUGUCCAGUAAUAAAAGGCUGAUUAACAUGCUGAGUGGAAUAUUGUGCAGCUAUUUAAAAUAAUGUAAUGAAUAUUUAAUCAGCUAGAAAAUUGUUCACGAUUAAGUAAAGAUAUGUCAGAUAUUUUCAGACUCCUUAAACGAAUACAUUUGCUAAACUGUUAUUGUUUAUUGCAGGUGUGAGACAAAUCUUAUUAGGAUGAGGGGGUGGAUCUUAUUUUCAUGAUUACAAAUAAGCAUGUAUGAUUUUUGUGACUCAGGGAAAGGAAAGUUUGUUUUCUGAAAAGGAGAGAGAUAAAUCCUUGAAAAAUAAAAAUUAUUUGAAGCAGACUUACAACCACAUAAUCAACCCCCUUUGGAAAUCUGUAAAUGGAAAUCCUACGAGGUUCAGGAUCUUUAGAAGUGAUAAUGAAGAAUUAACUAUCAGGGAAGAACUGAACAGGUAAUUUCAAAACUCAGAUAAUUUUAAAAUCAACUGUAGGGGAGCAAUCUAUGUGUUCUCAAAGGCGUGUUGAAAAGAAUUCAAGAAUUUUUUGAGUGGUUUUGCUGUCAUUUCUCCACUCCAGCCCCCAAAACCUCAAAAGACCUGACACUGUCUAAGGAAGGUGCUCUAAGAAGUUCAAGAUCAAGGUUUCCAGAAACAUGUAACUUGUCUGAGAACAAUGAAAUAAAUGAAAAUGUUAACUUAUUAAAUACUGGAGUUGGAACAUAAUAUUUAAAUACUAAAAGCUUUUGUCUCAGACAAUAAAACUUCCAUCAGUUCAUUCUCAUUCAGUAAUGUGUGUACAGCUAUUCAUUCAUCCAACAAGUCACUUUAUUCAGAGGCACUUGCCUCUGAUACCAGUCUCUUCAAUGUCAUCAAGAUGCCAUUUUAUUCAGGUAACAGUUGAGCAUGUAAAAGAAACUAAAGAUUUCCCACUGGUUUAGAAGACCAUGAAAUGAAGCAGAGCAAAAUGUUAUAAUCCAAUAUAAUAAAUUCAUAUUUGUGAAUAUUAUGCUAAAGAAGUGUUUAGGUAGCUUGGUCACUUUGCCAGAGGAUUGACAAUGGAAACAGAAGCUUAAACCCUGGGCCCCAGGCCCGCCCGCUCGCAUCCAGAUUUUUAAAAAAAUACAGUAUCUAAUGGUUAUGAAGACCACAUGGCCGAAGACUGCAGGGAUGAUAUCGGGAGAACGAAUUUAAUUGUCAACUACCUCCCGCAGAACAUGACCCAGAAUGAGUUGCGGAGUCUGUUCAGCAGUAUCCGUGAAGUCGAAUCUGCAAAACUCAUUCGGGAUAGGGCUACGGCUUUGUGAACUACGUGACUGCCAAGGAUGCGGAGAGAGCGAUCAACACCCUGAAUGGCCUGCGGCUCCAGUCAAAAACCAUUAAGGUGUCAUACGCUCGCCCGAGCUCAGAGGUAAUCAAAAACGCCAACCUGUACAUCAGCGGGCUCCCGCAGACCAGAAGGACGUGGAAGACAUGUUCUCUCGGUUCGGGCGAAUCAACUCCCGGGUCCUUGUGGAUCAGACCACAGGUUUGUCCAGAGGGGUUGUGUUUAUCCGGUUUGACAAAGGGUCGGAAGCAGAAGAGGCAAUUACCAGUUUCAUUGGUCAUAAACCCCCAGGUUCCUCCGAGCCCAUUACAGUGAAGUUUGCAGCCAACCCCCAACCAGAACAAAAACGUGGUGCUGCUCUUCCACCUGUACCACUCACCCGCCAGACGGUUCGGAGGCCCCGUUCACCACCAGGCGCAGAGAUUCAGGUUCUCCUCUAUGGGUGUAGAUCACAUGAGUGGGCUUUCUGGUGUCAAUGUCCUGGGCAACGCGUCUUCGGGGUGGUGCAUCUUCAUCUACAACCUCGGGCAGGACGCCGAUGAAGGGAUCCUCUGGCAGAUGUUUGGCCCCUUUGGGGCAGUCACCAAUGUGAAAGUGAUUCACAACUUCAACACCAAGUGCAAAGGCUUUGGCUUAGUGACCAUGACAAACUAUGAAGAAGCCGCCAUGGCCAUAGCGAGUAUGAACGGCUACCGCCUGGGGGACAAAAUCUUACAGGUUUCCUUCAAAACCAAUAAGUCCCACAAAUAACUUGCUCAUGCC